rnacentral:lncRNA from 1 species
CAUAAUCUAGCAUUUACAACUGAAGUACUUUUUUAUAAGAACUGGCAUCUUGAUGUAUAUGUCUGAAAUGAUACAUAAUCCUUUGGUUUUUAAUUUGAAUUAAUAAGACCAUGAUAGAUUUUGAUUUUUAAUUUUACUUUUAAACUAUUUUAGUGUGCUAUUAUAUUUGUUCUAGAACUCUGAGUCACUUUGGUUUUAAAAGCUAGCUGUUUAUUUUUCAUACCACAUCAGAAAUUUCUUAAUGUUAAAAAAUACUGUAUGUUUGUGAUGUAACCAACCAGAACAGUUCCUAGAUUGGGGAGGGUUUGGAUUAACAUUUACUAAGAAGGCAAGAAGAAUUGAACUUUAUACUUCUAAAGGAGGUUUUUGGUUUUAUGAGGUGCUGGUCAUAAAACUUGUUUUCUUGUUUGUUUGUUUUUAAUUUUAUCAAAGCCAGGCAGGUGUUUGCAUUCUAAUUUACCAUUGAUAAAGACACAGGAAAGCCACAGAAGUCUUUUGGGGAUGUAUGUUAUAUACAUAGUUGACUGUUAUUCACUUGCUCCUCUUGUAUUAAGUAGGAGAUACAACAUCCCAAGUCAUUUUUAGAUCAGUUAGCCUUCAGAGACUUCACCUCUCUUCCCAAAUUAUCUCUUCCAAGCUGUCUUCAUCAUCUGUGUUCAGUUACA